rnacentral:misc_RNA from 1 species
AGUGGUGAUUGGAUAGCUAGUGUUUGUAGGCUCUGUGCUCGCGCACCCAACUACUUACCACCUAUCCUUCUCAGUUGCUUCACGAGCAAAGCUAUGCUCGUUGAAUGGAUCCAGGGCUUGUGUUGCGUACCUAUCUAGAAGGAAUUGUUGAGGCUUGCUUCAAAUGUUGUUCGCGGCGUCUCCUUUGGUGGGGAAGUCGUGAACACAAAAGCCGGCAUUUGUGAUCCUUGCGACUUGGCAUCAAAAAUGCCUUGUCCGCAAAGGUGAAUAAGCUGUCGGUUGAGAUCUCGGUUGCGGAAAGGUUAUGGACGGUGACGUGAAGUAAUUCUGUCCCGCCAAGCACGUUUGUCCUCGGACAAAAGAUGACGGUCAAGACUGCGUCUGUUUGUUCCCUCUUACCUAGUGUUUGCGGGAAUUAGACAAGGUCUUGCCGUGAUUGAUGAAUGCUACCUGGUUGAUCCUGCCAGUAGUCAUAUGCUUGUCUCAAAGAUUAAGCCAUGCAUGUGUAAGUAUGAACGAAUUCAGACUGUGAAACUGCGAAUGGCUCA